rnacentral:rRNA from 1 species
UAGCAUAUCAAUAAGCGGAGGAAAAGAAGACCAACCGGGGAUUGCCCCAGUAACGGCGAGUGAAGCGGCAACAGCUCAAAUUUGAAAUCUGGGGUCCUUUGGGCCUCCGAGUUGUAGUUUGCAGAGGGAGCCUCGGAGGGCGUGCCGGCCCAAGUGCCUUGGAACAGGAUACCGCAGAGGGUGAGAGUCCCGUAUCCGGCCGGUGGCGCGCUCCGUGUGAGGCCUCUUCGACGAGUCGAGUUGUUUGGGAAUGCAGCUCCAAGCGGGUGGUAAAUUCCAUCUAAAGCUAAAUACUGGCCAGAGACCGAUAGCGAACAAGUAGAGUGAUCGAAAGAUGAAAAGCACUUUGAAAAGAGAGUCAAACAGUACGUGAAAUUGUUGAAAGGGAAGCGCAUGGGGGCAGACUUGGCCGCGGGGUUCAGGGUGCGUUCUCGCGCCUGCACUUCCCCGCGGACAGGCCAGCAUCGGUUCUGGGGGCCGGACAAAGGGGCCGGGAAGGUAGCCGCCUUCGGGCGGUGUUAUAGCCCGGCGCGCAAUGCGGCCACCUGGGACCGAGGACCGCGCUUCGGCAAGGAUGCUGGCGUAAUGGCCUCAUGCGGCCCGUCUUGAAACACGGACCAAGGAGUCUAACAUCUAUGCGAGUGUUUGGGUGGCAAGCCCGGGCGCGCAAUGAAAGUGAACGGAGGUGGGAGCUGUCGUAGGCGCACCAUCGACCGAUCCGGACGUUUUCCGAAGGAUUUGAGUAGGAGCAUAGCUGUUGGGACCCGAAAGAUGGUGAACUAUGCGUGAAUAGGGUGAAGCCAGAGGAAACUCUGGUGGAGGCUCGCAGCGGUUCUGACGUGCAAAUCGAUCGUCAAAUUUGCGUAUAGGGGGCGAAAGACUAAUCGAACCAUCUAGUAGCUGGUUCCUGCCGAA